rnacentral:rRNA from 1 species
GGAGUUAGCCGGUGCUUCUUCUGUGAGUGAUGUCCUUCCUGCCGGCUAUUAACCCGCAGGCCUUCUUCCUCACUGAAAGUGCUUUACAACCCGAAGGCCUUCUUCACACACGCGGCAUGGCUGGAUCAGGGUUGCCCCCAUUGUCCAAUAUUCCCCACUGCUGCCUCCCGUAGGAGUCUGGGCCGUGUCUCAGUCCCAGUGUGGCUGAUCAUCCUCUCAGACCAUCUACGGAUCGUCGCCUUGGUGAGCCGUUACCUCACCAACCAGCUAAUCCGACAUAGGCUCAUCCGAUAGCGCGAGGCCCGAAGGUCCCCCGCUUUCCCCCGUAGGGCGUAUGCGGUAUUAGCCUGGGUUUCCCCAGGUUAUCCCCCACUACCCGGGCAGAUUCCUAUGCAUUACUCACCCGUCCGCCGCUCGCCACCAGGGAGCAAGCUCCCCGUGCUGCCGCUCGACUUGCAUGUGUUAGGCCUGCCGCCAGCGUUCAAUCUGAGCCAGAAUCAAACUCUGA